rnacentral:rRNA from 1 species
CUUGGCUCGCGCAACGAUGAAGGACGCAGCGAACUGCGAAACGCAAUGUGAAUUGCAGAAUUCAGUGAAUCAUCAGAUUCUGAACGCAAAUG